rnacentral:tRNA from 1 species
GGGGAUUUAGCUCAGUGGUAGAGUGCUUGCCUAGCAAGCACAAGGCUCUGGGUUCGGUCCCCAGCUCCG